AACGAACGCUGGCGGCAUGCCUAACACAUGCCAGUCGAACGAGACCUUCGGGUCUAGUGGCGCACGGGUGCGUAACGCUUGGGAACCUGCCCUUAGGUUCGGAAUAACUCCCCGAAGGGGGUGCUAAUACCGGAUAAUGUCUUCGGACCAAAGAUUUAUCGCCUUUGGAUGGGCCCGCGUUGGAUUAGCUAGUUGGUAGGGUAAAAGCCUACCAAGGCGACGAUCCAUAGCUGGUCUGAGAGGAUGAUCAGCCACACUGGGACUGAGACACGGCCCAGACUCCUACGGGAGGCAGCAGUGGGGAAUAUUGGACAAUGGGCGAAAGCCUGAUCCAGCAAUGCCGCGUGAGUGAUGAAGGCCUUAGGGUUGUAAAGCUCUUUUACCCGGGAUGAUAAUGACAGUACCGGGAGAAUAAGCUCCGGCUAACUCCGUG
rnacentral:rRNA from 1 species